ensembl:lncRNA
GGAGAUACUUCCCUCCAUGUGGGGACAUAGAGGUUGCCUCUGUCCAGGGUUGGAUACGCCAUGCUAGGAGAUACUUCCCUCCAUGUGGGGACAUAGAGGUUGCCUCUGUCCAGGGUUGGAUACGCCAUGCUAGGAGAUACUUCCCUCCAUGUGGGGACAUAGAGGUUGCCUCUGUCCAGGGUUGGAUACGCCAUGCUAGGACAUACUUCCCUCCAUGUGGGGACAUAGAGGUUGCCUCUGUCCAAGGUUGGAUACGCCAUGCUAGGAGAUACUUCCCUCCAUGUUUGGCAAGAGAAAACGUAUCUUGUGAUGUGGACGAAGUAUUGUGGCCAGACUCAGGCUGGAGAUGAGAUGAAGCGUAGCUUAGCACUGGUGACUGCCCCCCUACCAAUUCCUGGACUGCCCCCCC